rnacentral:rRNA from 1 species
UACGAAGGGGGCUAGCGUUGCUCGGAUUGACUGGGCGUAAAGGGCGCGUAGGCGGCUUGACAAGUCCCGGGUGAAAUCCCUCGGCUCAACCGAGGAACUGCCUUGGAAACUGUCUGGCUUGAGGCCGGGAGAGGGUAGUGGAAUUCCCAGUGUAGCGGUGAAAUGCGUAGAUACUGGGAGGAACACCGGUGGCGAAGGCGGCUACCUGGACCGGUUCUGACGCUGAGGCGCGAAAGCGUGGGUAGCAAACAGG